AAUUUUGGACAAUGGGGGCAACCCUGAUCCAGCCAUCCCGCGUGUUCGCUGAAGGCCUUCGGGUUGUAAAGCACUUUUCGCAGGGAAGAAAAGGUUCUGGCUCAUCUCUGGAACUGCUGCCGGAACCUGCAUACUAAGCACCGGCUAACCCCGUGCCAUCAGCCGCGGUAUUACGUAGGGUGCAAGCGUAAAUCGGAAUUACUGGGCGUAAAGCGUGCGCAGGCGGUUCGGCAAGAAGGAUGUGAAAUCCCGGGGCUUAACCUCGGAACUGCAUUCUUAACUGCCGGGCUAGAGUAUGUCAGAGGGGGGUAGAAUUCCACGUGUAGCAGUGAAAUGCGUAGAUAUGUGGAGGAAUACCGAUGGCGAAGGCAGCCCCCUGGGAUAAUACUGACGCUCAGACACGAAAGCGUGGGGAGCAAACA
rnacentral:rRNA from 1 species